CACGCCGUAAACGAUGAAUGCUAGGUGUUGGGGGUCAAACCUCGGUGCCGAAGUUAACACAUUAAGCAUUCCGCCUGGGGAGUACGGUGGCAACACUGAAACUCAAAGGAAUUGACGGGGACCCGCACAAGCAGCGGAGCAUGUGGUUUAAUUCGAUGCAACGCGAAGAACCUUACCAGGGCUUGACAUAUAUGCGCUAGCACUAGAGAUAGUGUUUUCUCUUCGGAGACUGAGAGACAGGUGG
rnacentral:rRNA from 1 species